CUGAGACACGGCCCAGACUCCUACGGGAGGCAGCAGUGGGGAAUUUUCCGCAAUGGGCGAAAGCCUGACGGAGCAACGCCGCGUGAGGGACGAAGGCCUCUGGGCUGUAAACCUCUUUUCUCAAGGAAGAAGAUAUGACGGUACUUGAGGAAUAAGCCACGGCUAAUUCCGUGCCAGCAGCCGCGGUAAUACGGGAGUGGCAAGCGUUAUCCGGAAUUAUUGGGCGUAAAGCGUCCGCAGGCGGCCUUUCAAGUCUGCUGUUAAAGCGUGGAGCUUAACUCCAUUAUGGCAGUGGAAACUGAUAGGCUUGAGUAUGGUAGGGGCAGAGGGAAUUCCCGGUGUAGCGGUGAAAUGCGUAGAUAUCGGGAAGAACACCAGUGGCGAAGGCGCUCUGCUGGGCCAUUACUGACGCUCAUGGACGAAAGCCAGGGGAGCGAAAGGGAUUAGAUACCCCUGUAGUCCUGGCCGUAAACGAUGAACACUAGGUGUCGGGGGAAUCGACCCCUUCGGUGUCGUAGCUAACGCGUUAAGUGUUCCGCCUGGGGAGUACGCACGCAAGUGUGAAACUCAAAGGAAUUGACGGGGGCCCGCACAAGCGGUGGAGUAUGUGGUUUAAUUCGAUGCAACGCGAAGAACCUUACCAGGGUUUGACAUCCUGCGAACCUCUUAGAAAUUUGAGGGUGCCUUCGGGAAUGCAGUGACAGGUGGUGCAUGGCUGUCGUCAGCUCGUGUCGUGAGAUGUUGGGUUAAGUCCCGCAACGAGCGCAACCCACGUUUUUAGUUGCCAGCAUUUAGUUGGGCACUCUAGAAAGACCGCCGGUGAUAAACCGGAGGAAGGUGUGGAUGACGUCAAGUCAUCAUGCCCCUUACACCCUGGGCUACACACGUACUACAAUGCUACGGACAAAGGGCAGCAAACUCGCGAGAGCUAGCAAAUCCCAUAAACCGUGGCUCAGUUCAGAUCGUAGGCUGCAACUCGCCUACGUGAAGUAGGAAUCGCUAGUAAUCGCAGGUCAGCAUACUGCGGUGAAUACGUUCCCGGGCCUUGUACACACCGCCCGUCACACCAUGGAAGUUGGCCAUGCCCGAAGUCGUUACUCCAACCCUUGUGGAGGAGGACGCCGAAGGUGGGGCUAAUGACUGGGGUGAAGUCGUAACAAGGUAGCCGUACCGGAAGGUGCGGCUG
rnacentral:rRNA from 1 species